UCACGGAGCAGAAGCGCAAACUCACCUGGGAGAUUGAGAGCAAGGUCCAGCAGGCUCAAGAGAAAAAGUUCCUUCUGUAGUCAGAAUCUUCGUCCUGGAAGACUCCAAAAAAACGUGGUACAUGUAUAGACUCAUCAAAGAGGUGGGUUUCUUUUAGGAAAAUUGUAUCUGCAUCUGAACUUACAUCCUGUUUGCUGAUUAAAAAAUGGAUCCUCACAGCUGGAUGACACAUCUGUUUGUGCCUGUAUAAUGUUGACCCUUCAGUCAGAGGAGGGGCUGAGAGGACACCUGAACUUUGCACUGUCACUUUACUUUAUAAGCGUCUGCUGGUGAGCGGGAGGUAGAACCCUAAAACAUGAAGCUGGCAGUGGUGUUGGCGUGCUUUGUGGUCUUCUGUCUGGCAGAGAAGCCCCUUCCCUGCACUAGCCCUCCUCUUUUGACCGGGGGGUUCACUGUGACCACACAGAAUGAGAAAAUCGGGACACGUGGAUCAGAACUAACGUGAAAAGUCACCAUUCUCAGACGCGGUCCGAAGUGGAUGACAUCGCCAAGCCUGAUGCAACUGAGAACAGAAGAAUUCUUUGUUUUCUUAGGAAACCAGUUACGGGAACUUGUGUUGUAAAAAAUAAAGGGUGGAAAUGUGAA